rnacentral:rRNA from 1 species
CGCAGAGAAUAGGCCCAAGCGACUGUUUACCAAAAACAUAGGUUUCUGCUAAGUCGCAAGACGAUGUAUAGGAGCUGACGCCUGCCCGGUGCUGGAAGGUUAAGGGGAUCUGUUAGAGCAAUCGAAGCAGUGAACUUAAGCCCCAGUAAACGGCGGCCGUAACUAUAACGGUCCUAAGGUAGCGAAAUUCCUUGUCGGGUAAGUUCCGACCCGCACGAAAGGCGUAACGAUUUGGGCACUGUCUCAACAACAGACUCGGUGAAAUUGUAAUUCCGGUGAAGAUGCCGGAUACCUGCGACAGGACGGAAAGACCCCAUGGAGCUUUACUGUAGCUUGACAUUGGGUCUUGGUACUACAUGUACAGGAUAGGUGGGAGGCUUUGAAACCAGGACGCCAGUUUUGGCGGAGCCAUCCUUGGGAUACCACCCUUGUAGUACUGGGACUCUAACCAUAGGCCAUGAAUCUGGUCUUGGGACACUGUCAGGUGGGCAGUUUGACUGGGGCGGUCGCCUCCCAAAAGGUAACGGAGGCGCUCAAAGGUUCUCUCAGUACGGUCGGAAAUCGUACGUAGAGUGUAAAGGCAAAAGAGAGCUUGAUUGCAAGACAUACAGGUCGAGCAAGGAUGAAAAUCGGACUUAGUGAUCCGGUGGUUCUGCGUGGAAGGGCCAUCGCUCAACGGAUAAAAGCUACCCUGGGGAUAACAGGCUUAUCUCCCCCAAGAGUCCACAUCGACGGGGAGGUUUGGCACCUCGAUGUCGGCUCAUCACAUCCUGGGGCUGUAGUAGGUCCCAAGGGUUGGGCUGUUCGCCCAUUAAAGUGGUACGCGAGCUGGGUUCAGAACGUCGUGAGACAGUUCGGUCCCUAUCCGUCGCAGGCGUAGGAAAUUUGAGAAGACCUGUCCUUAGUACGAGAGGACCGGGAUGGACGUACCUCUGGUGUACCAGUUGUCCUGCCAAGGGCAUGGCUGGGUAGCUAUGUACGGAAUGGAUAAGCGCUGAAAGCAUCUAAGCGCGAAGCCAACUUCAAGAUAAGAUUUCCCACCGCAAGGGUAAGACCCCAGAAAGACUAUCUGGUUGAUAGGUCGAAGGUGUAAGUGCAGCAAUGUAUUUAGCUUAUCGAUACUAAUAG